rnacentral:rRNA from 1 species
AACGAACGCUGGCGGCGCGCCUAAUACAUGCAAGUCGAACGAGAAGCUGUAGCAAUACAGUUGUACAGUGGCGAACGGGUGAGGAAUACAUGGGUGACCUACCCUCGAGUGGGGAAUAACCAGCCGAAAGGUUGGCUAAUACCGCGUACGCUUCCCAGUCUACGGGUUGGGAAGGAAAGCGAUGCCGUGGGUAUCGCGCUCAAGGUUGGGCUCAUGUCCUAUCAGCUUGNGGUGGGGUAACGGCUCACCAAGGCAACGACGGGUAGCUGGUCUGAGAGGACGAUCAGCCACACUGGCACUGCGACACGGGCCAGACUCCUACGGGAGGCAGCAGUAAGAUAUUGCGCAAUGGGACGAAAGCCUGACGCAGCGACGCCGCGGUGGGGGAUGGAAGGUCUU